AUGGUUUGACCUCGGAUCAGGUAGGGAUACCCGCUGAACUUAAGCAUAUCAAU
rnacentral:rRNA from 1 species